rnacentral:rRNA from 1 species
CAAACCAAAGCUGGCGACCGGCGCACGGGUGAGUAACACGUAUCCAACCUGCCUCAUACUCGGGGAUAGCCUUUCGAAAGAAAGAUUAAUAUCCGAUAGCAUAUAUUUCCCGCAUGGGUUUUAUAUUAAAGAAAUUCGGUAUGAGAUGGGGAUGCGUUCCAUUAGUUUGUUGGCGGGGUAACGGCCCACCAAGACUACGAUGGAUAGGGGUUCUGAGAGGAAGGUCCCCCACAUUGGAACUGAGACACGGUCCAAACUCCUACGGGAGGCAGCAGUGAGGAAUAUUGGUCAAUGGACGCGAGUCUGAACCAGCCAAGUAGCGUGAAGGAUGACUGCCCUAUGGGUUGUAAACUUCUUUUAUAUGGGAAUAAAGUGGUCCACGUGUGGAUUUUUGUACGUACCAUAUGAAUAAGGAUCGGCUAACUCCGUGCCAGCAGCCGCGGUAAUACGGAGGAUCCGAGCGUUAUCCGGAUUUAUUGGGUUUAAAGGGAGCGUAGGCGGAUUGUUAAGUCAGUUGUGAAAGUUUGCGGCUCAACCGUAAAAUUGCAGUUGAUACUGGCAGUCUUGAGUGCAGUAGAGGUGGGCGGAAUUCGUGGUGUAGCGGUGAAAUGCUUAGAUAUCACGAAGAACUCCGAUUGCGAAGGCAGCUCACUGGAGUGUAACUGACGCUGAUGCUCGAAAGUGUGGGUAUCAAACAGG